UUGGAAAUGCACUGGCCAACUAGAGUUAUGCUGCAAUGGUCUACUAUGGAGUGUGAAUUGGUGCCAAGUUCCAAAGUUUCAAAAGGAGUUUCCUGGGGGACUGUCAUCAUCAAAGGCAACAAGGCUCUGAAACACCUCCAAAGAAUCCUCUCCAAAGAGUGGAGCCAGAUCCCUCAUCCCAGCUUGCCUCUUCUGGGAGCUUCUCCUAAGCCGCCGUGAGCAGCCAGGGAAGAUGGUGGUGGGUUGGAGAGCGUCAGGGCCGAAGAGGAGUCUUUUUAACUGACCGAGCCUGAGGCCAGACACAAGGCGUCUCGACAUGGUGGUACGAUGGGUGGGAGGAAUGGAGCUAUUUUCCAGGCAUCCUGUCAGGACUAUUUACUCUAGUUCUAUUUGACUGGCAUCUCACCAGAGACCCAGUCAGCCCACUACAUACCAGGUGAUAUUCCCAUAGGGGCCGAGCCUAUCUCUACAUCCCAGGGGUCAGAUCCAGCAAGCCCCAGCAAAAUAAAACCCAGUCAGGAUCUCUGUUGAGCCCAUUUCCCCACCUCAGGGGCUCUCUCUUAGAUUCCUGCAUGCUUUAUCCAGCGUGCUUAAUCAGCAACAGUGAUGAAGGGUUUUGCCAUUAUUACAGGCCUGCCACUCUUGCAUCAGUCUUCUUGAUGAUCAGCUACCCUGAUUGUCCACCUUGAGUCUGAAGGGCUGUGACAUAAAUCUGAGUUCCCCCCUUCUGGAACGCUUCGUCAGCUGGGUCCCUCACUCCCCAGGGACACAAUUUAGCAGACUUCCCUCUUGCCUGCCCUUCUGUCUCCAGCCUUGCCCACUGCUGACUAGGUAACAGUGAUCAUUUAAAACCAGAGGCAAUCUAAAUGCUCCGUUUGUCUGUCCUAGUUAAUUCUGCUUCUCUUCGGAAAAGAUGCAAAUUGGGGUCUCCCUUCCAGGCAAAGGGAAGGCUGUAUUUCCCUACCCUGUCACUCAAUCAGCGUACAGUGGUGUUAAUAUUAAACAUCAUACUGCCAUCUGUCUGCCAUACAAACUCUGUUUGCAGCCCAGAGCUCGGGAUUAUUACACGAUAGUGUUAUUCACAGUGGGUCCAGCCCUAGGAGCCAAGCCUGGACCUUUCUGUGUAUGGAACUCAGUGCUGAUUAAAGGAAACAAUCUGGUCAAA